rnacentral:rRNA from 1 species
GAUGAACGUUGGCGACGUGCCUAACACAUGCAAGUCGAGCGGAGAAGCAGAGAGUGCACGUUUCGGAGGGAACUGUUUUCGGAUCGGCGGCGGACGGGUGAGUAAUACAUGAGGAACCUGCCCUCUACAAGGGGAUAGCCGCGGGAAACCGCGAUUAAUACCCUAGGAGACCACGAAAGAGCAUGCGCUUGAGGGCAAAGAUUUAUCGGUAGAAGAUGGCCUCAUGACCGAUGAGCUAGUUGGAGACUUAACAGACAACCAAGGCGACGAUGGGUAGCCGGCAUCAGAGAGUGACCCGCCACACUGGAACUGGGCCUCGGUCCAGACUCCUACGGGAAGCAGGAGUGCGUAAUAUUGCACAACGGGGGAAAUCCUGAUGCAGCUCCGUCGCGUGAGCGCAGUAGGCCUUCGGGUCGUAAAGCUCUGUCCUAUCGGAAGAAAAGGACGGUACCCAAGAAGGAAGCCCCGGCUAACUACGUG